AACGGCGAGUGAAGAGGAAAGAGCUCAAAGUUGGAACCUGUUUGGCUUAGCUAAACCGGAUUGUAAACUGUAGAAACAUUUUCCAGAUACACUAGACAAAAAAGUCCUUUGGAACAGGGCAUCAUAGAGGGUGAGAAUCCCGUCUUUGGUCUAAGUAGUUGUCUAUUGUGAUAUGUUUUCAAAGAGUCAGGUUGUUUGGGAAUGCAGCCUAAAUUGGGUGGUAAAUCUCACCUAAAGCUAAAUAUUUGCGAGAGACCGAUAGCGAACAAGUACCGUGAGGGAAAGAUGAAAAGAACUUUGAAAAGAGAGUUAAACAGUAUGUGAAAUUGUUAAAAGGGAACCGUUUGGAGCCAGACUGGCUUGAUUGUAAUCAACCUAGAAUUCGUUUUGGGUGCACUUGCAGUCUAUGCCUGCCAACGACAGUUUGAUUUGGAGGAAAAAAUUAAUAGGAAUGUGGCCUCUCGAGGUGUUAUAGCCUAUUAUCAUACUCUGGAUUGGACUGAGGAACGCAGUGAAUGCCUUUAGGCAAGAUUGCUGGGCGCUUUCGCUAAUAAAUGUUAGAAUUUCUGCUUCGGGUGGUGCUAAUGUUUAAAGGAGGAACUCGUUUAGUAUAUUUUUU
rnacentral:rRNA from 1 species